UACGGGGGGGGGCAAGCGUUGUUCGGAAUUACUGGGCGUAAAGGGCUCGUAGGCGGCCAACUAAGUCAGACGUGAAAUCCCUCGGCUUAACCGGGGAACUGCGUCUGAUACUGGAUGGCUUGAGUGUGGGAGAGGAAUGCGGAAUUCCAGGUGUAGCGGUGAAAUGCGCAGAUAUCAGGAGGAACACCGGUGGCGAAGGCGGGACUCUGGGCCGAUACUGACGCUGAGGAGCGAAAGCGUGGGGAGCGAACAGG
rnacentral:rRNA from 1 species